rnacentral:lncRNA from 1 species
UACUAAAAGAAAAAGGGGUUGGAGGGGUCAAAUAAUAGCUGAGUCAUAGUAGUCUGCUUCUAGUUGGUUGGCAUUUAUAACAAGUCUGCUACUGUUUGAAUUUGUUACUACAUCUACUUUGUGUGAUUUUAUUUGGUAUGGUGUUUGCCCGUUAUGUAAAUUUUUUUUACAUAAAAAGCUUACUAUACUAGAGUAUAAGAUGUUAGUUUUAUCUUUAGCUUCUUUUGGAUACCACUACUAGCACUGUUUCCAUUUCAGGAAAAUGGAAAAGAAGACAAGGAAAGGAAAGAGGAAGCAACUGAAGUGGAAGAGCCUACUGAGAGUUCACAGAGUGUACCCGGCAGUUCUGCAUUAGACACCAGAAGCAAUGUGGCAGAAACAGCAGCGGCUGAAAUCAAAUCCCAAGGUAGAGAACUAGCUUUCCCCUACACUGUGGAAUUUAAAACAAUUAUAUUUUCAUUGGGGAUGCAUUCCGUAAGAUUUUACCUUUAAAAAAAAUAUAAUCCUGGGGUAUUUUAAAUACGAUUUGGGAAAUAGUUAAAAAUACAUUCCCCUCACCAUCUAUUAAUACUUUUGAGGCAACUUUAUUCAUCUCAUGCUUAAAGAGAAAAUUUAGCUGAGAGCUGCCUGACACAUACCCAUUAAUGCAAAAAUAAAAUGAAGAACACAAGUGAUUUGGCGGGCUUU